GGGUGUGAGGUGUGAUCUCGUUGUGUCAUCUGUCACCUCAUGGAUUGUCAGGGUUGAUUGGCCUGAGCUGGCAGCGUGGCGGGGGUCCCCUUCCUCCCUCGAGGCCUUCUGCGCAGCCUCCUGAAGCUGUGUGCUGGUCCCACAUGGGGAACGCCUUCCUGGGUCAAGGGUAUGAGACUGGCCGCGCUCCCCGCUGAGGCCUCCAAGCAAGCUCUCAAAUAGGCUUCACUUUCUUU
rnacentral:sRNA from 1 species